rnacentral:rRNA from 1 species
UCUAGUAUAGCAAUUUCUACCGUGAAACUGCGAAUGGGCUCAUUAAAUCAGUUAUCGUUUAUUUGAUAGUACCUUACUACUUGGAUAACCGUGGUAAUUCUAGAGCUAAUACAUGCUGAAAACCCCAACUUCGGGAGGGGUGUAUUUAUUAGAUAAAAAACCAACGCCCUUCGGGGCUUCUUGGUGAUUCAUGAUAACUUUACGGAUCGCAUGGCCUUGCGCCGGCGACGGUUCAUUCAAAUUUCUGCCCUAUCAACUUUCGAUGGUAAGGUAUUGGCUUACCAUGGUUUCAACGGGUAACGGGGAAUUAGGGUUCGAUUCCGGAGAGGGAGCCUGAGAAACGGCUACCACAUCCAAGGAAGGCAGCAGGCGCGCAAAUUACCCAAUCCCGACACGGGGAGGUAGUGACAAUAAAUACUGAUACAGGGCUCUUUUGGGUCUUGUAAUUGGAAUGAGUACAAUUUAAACCUCUUAACGAGGAACAAUUGGAGGGCAAGUCUGGUGCCAGCAGCCGCGGUAAUUCCAGCUCCAAUAGCGUAUAUUAAAGUUGUUGCAGUUAAAAAGCUCGUAGUUGAAACUUGGGUCUGGCUGGCAGGUCCGCCUCACCGCGUGUACUUGUCCGGCCGGGCCUUCCUUCUGGAGAACCUCAUGCCCUUCACUGGGCGUGUUGGGGACCAGGACUUUUACUUUGAAAAAAUUAGAGUGUUCAAAGCAGGCCUUUGCUCGAAUACGUUAGCAUGGAAUAAUAGAAUAGGACGUGCGGUCCUAUUUUGUUGGUUUCUAGGACCGCCGUAAUGAUUAAUAGGGACAGUCGGGGGCAUCAGUAUUCAAUUGUCAGAGGUGAAAUUCUUGGAUUUAUUGAAGACUAACUACUGCGAAAGCAUUUGCCAAGGAUGUUUUCAUUAAUCAGUGAACGAAAGUUAGGGGAUCGAAGACGAUCAGAUACCGUCGUAGUCUUAACCGUAAACUAUGCCGACUAGGGAUCGGGCGAUGUUCUUUUUCUGACUCGCUCGGCACCUUACGAGAAAUCAAAGUUUUUGGGUCUGG